GCGGCUGGCGUGUGGGAAGUCAGUCAGUGGUCGACAGCGAUAGGAUGCAAGUCAUCAACUAAGAGCGACCAGCCAGCUCUACAGCAGGAUCUCCCAGUGGUAAAUAUAAUAAACCAGGAUAGGUCCAACACUAACAACGAUUCUCCCCGCUGACUUUCGGGUCCGAUAACAACAACAACCGUACCUUCCCCAUUACUGACUUAAGGGUCCGUUACCUACAUAUCUCUCCUACCUCCCGUAAUCGCUGACUUCAGGGUCCCCCAGCAUUUCUACGUAUUCUCAGGCAUUGCACGACAUCCAGGCACCGAACACGAGGGACCCGUUUCCAGCCGGAGGAUCCAAACGCGAGAAGCCCCACGCCGACCGCACCGAACAAGCCCCUAUACCAUUCCCUACCAUAUCAAUCCGUUUAGAAAUUUGAAUAAAUCAUCUCUGUAUAAGCCUUAUUAAGGCUGAAA